GACGAACGCUGGCGGCGUGCUUAACACAUGCAAGUCGAACGGAAAGGCCCUGCUUUUGUGGGGUGCUCGAGUGGCGAACGGGUGAGUAACACGUGAGUAACCUGCCCUUGACUUUGGGAUAACUUCAGGAAACUGGGGCUAAUACCGGAUAGGAGCUCCUGCUGCAUGGUGGGGGUUGGAACGUUUCGGCGGUUGGGGAUGGACUCGCGGCUUAUCAGCUUGUUGGUGGGGUAGUGGCUUACCAAGGCUUUGACGGGUAGCCGGCCUGGGAGGGUGACCGGCCACAUUGGGACUGAGAUACGGACCAGACUCCUACAGGGGGCAGCAGUGGGGAAUAUUGCACAAUGGGGGGAAGCCUGAUGCAGCAACGCCGCGUGCGGGAUGACGGCCUUGGGGUUGUAAACCGCUUUCGCCUGUGACGAAGCGUGAGUGACGGUAAUGGGUAAAGAAGCACCAGCUAACUACGUG
rnacentral:rRNA from 1 species